GACGAACGCUGGCGGCGUGCUUAACACAUGCAAGUCGAACGAAGAGCGAUGGAAGCUUGCAUCUAUCAAUCUUAGUGGCGAACGGGUGAGUAACGCGUACUCAACCUGCCCUUAAGAGGGGGACAACAGUUGGAAACGACUGCUAAUACCGCAUACGAUCUAAUCUCGGCAUCGAGGAUAGAUGAAAGGUGGCCUCUACAUGUAAGCUAUCACUGAUGGAGGGGAUUGCGUCUGAUUAGCUAGUUGGAGGGGUAACGGCCCACCAAGGCGAUGAUCAGUAGCCGGUCUGAGAGGAUGAACGGCCACAGUGGGACUGAGACACGGCCCAGACUCCUACGGGAGGGAGCAGUGGGGAAUCUUCCGAAAUGGACGAAAGUCUGACGGAGCAACGCCGAGUGAGUGAUGACGGCCUUCGGGUUGUAAAGCUCUGUUAAUCGGGACGAAAGGCCUUCUUGCGAAUAGUGAGAAGGAUUGACGGUACCGGAAUAGAAAGCCACGGCUAACUACGUG
rnacentral:rRNA from 1 species